GUGAGGAAUAUUGGUCAAUGGACGGAAGUCUGAACCAGCCAUGCCGCGUGCAGGAAUAAGGUCCUAUGGAUUGUAAACUGCUUUUAUUCGGGAAUAAACCUCUUUACGUGUAGGGAGCUGAAGGUACCGAAGGAAUAAGCACCGGCUAACUCCGUGCCAGCAGCCGCGGUAAUACGGAGGGUGCAAGCGUUAUCCGGAAUCAUUGGGUUUAAAGGGUCUGCAGGCGGGCUAUCAAGUCAGAGGUGAAAUCCCACAGCUUAACUGUGGAACUGCCUUUGAAACUGAUGGUCUUGAAUUAAGUGGGCGUUGGCGGAAUAUGACAUGUAGCGGUGAAAUGCAUAGAUAUGUCAUGGAACACCGAAAGCGAAGGCAGCUAACGAUACUUAUAUUGACGCUCAUGGACGAAAGCGUGGGUAGCGAACAGGAUUAGAUACCCGUGUAGUCC
rnacentral:rRNA from 1 species